AAGAAAAUCAAGCUCAACAACCUAUGAAGUCAAUGAGAGAGAGAGAGAUUCUCAUGUCAAAUUUGAAGAAAAUUAUAGGGAAAAUGUCUCCGUCAGAAUAAAAUGCAGGCAUACAUAUAUAUUAAAAAAAUGGUGGAAGAUCUAGGAAACCUGAAAAUCCAAUAUAUCAGUAUUCAGUAUUAAUUGCUUGUUUUAAAAAAUAUGGGCCACAAUGUUGAGCUCACA
rnacentral:misc_RNA from 1 species